GUCAAUGGCCAUCACACCCUGAAUGUGCCUGGUCUUGUCUGAUCUUGGAAGCUAAGCAGAGUCGGGUCUGGUUAGUACUUGGAUGGGAGAAAUUCAAGCUAAGACAACCAGGAAAUGGAAUUGUCAGAUC
rnacentral:rRNA from 1 species